rnacentral:rRNA from 1 species
AUCGAACGCUGGCGGCAGGCCUAACACAUGCAAGUCGAGCGGAGCGGCGGAAGGGUGAGUAAUGCCUAGGAAUCUGACUGGUAGUGGGGGAUAACGUACGGAAACGGGCGCUAAUACCGCAUACUAUCAGAUGAGCCUAGGUCGGAUUGGCUAGUUGGUGGGGUAAAGGCCUACCAAGUCGACGAUCCGGAACUGGUCUGAGGGGAUGAUCAGUCACACUGGAACUUAGACACGGUCCAGACUCCUACGGGAGGCAGCAGUGGGGAAGAUUGGACAAUGGGCGAAAGCCUGAUCAAGCCAUGCCGCGAGUGUGAUGAAGGUCUUCGGAUUGUAAAGCUCUAUAAUUUGGGAGGCGUUACCAAAAGAAUAAGCACCGGCUAACUACGUGCCAGCAGCCGCGGUAAUUC